GUGUCUAGCUCAGUGGUAGAGUGCUUGCCUUGCAUGUAUGAGACCCUGGGUUCAAUUCCUUGGCACCACA
rnacentral:tRNA from 1 species